AUGUUCUUUGCCUGUGGAAAGUCCAUGCUCUCCCUCCAAGCUGAUUGGGAAGAGUGUUUGAUAGGAGGACACAGGGGAUGCAGAGGGACCCAAAUGCUCAUGCAUGUUGCCCACACAAUUCUGCAUUGCUUGGGUACCCACAAUGACAGCACUAGAUCAGACUCACACCACAAGCUUCUGUCUGCUUGCCAAGGUCUGGUUCCUGACCACUCAGAUGGAACACUAAACAUCAGUUUCAAGGGAUCCUUGCACAAUGACUUUCCAGUUCUAAGUUUAGAGGGAAAAAAACAAAAGACAUCAUCUGAUGGAGUGGCUGUUUUGGGAGCAGAAGAAAUCCUGCCCUCCCCCUCUAUUAUAUUACGUGCUGUGAUUUGGGCAGAGGUUUCACCCCUAAUCUGCAGAGGUGCUGCACAUGCACGAAACCUGCCAGAAACAAUGGGAAACUGCAUGCAAUUUGUUGUCCUCCAGAUUAGGCCCAAGGGAAAUGAUGCACUGUGA
rnacentral:lncRNA from 1 species